rnacentral:rRNA from 1 species
GAUGAACGCUGGCGGCAUGCCUAACACAUGCAAGUCGAUCGGUAAGGCUCUUCGGAGUACACGAGAGGCGGACGGCUGAGUAACGCGUAGGAACACACCCUGCAGUGAGGGAUAAGACACCGAAAGGUGUUCUAAUACCGCAUACGGUCUUCGGAUUAAAGCAUUUAUGCGCUGAAGGAGUGGCCUGCGUCAUAUUAGAUAGUUGGUGAGGUAAUGGCUCACCAAGUCGAUGAUGUGUAGCUGGUCUGAGUGGAUGAUCAGCCAGACUGGAACUGAGACACGGUCCAGACUCCUACGGGAGGCAGCAGUGAGGAAUAUUUCACAAUGAGCGAAAGCUUGAUGGAGCAAUGCCGCGGGCAGGAUGAAGGCCCUCGGGUUGUAAACUGCUUUUAUAAGAGAAGAUUAUGACGGUAACUGAUGAAUAAGGGACGGCUAACUACGUG